rnacentral:rRNA from 1 species
AGCGAACGCUGGCGGCAGGCUUAACACAUGCAAGUCGAGCGGGCAUCUUCGGAUGUCAGCGGCAGACGGGUGAGUAACACGUGGGAACGUACCCUUCGGUUCGGAACAACUCUGGGAAACUGGAGCUAAUACUGGAUACGCCCUUAUGGGGAAAGGUUUACUGCCGAAGGAUCGGCCCGCGUCUGAUUAGCUAGUUGGUGGGGUAACGGCCUACCAAGGCGACGAUCAGUAGCUGGUCUGAGAGGAUGAUCAGCCACACUGGGACUGAGACACGGCCCAGACUCCUACGGGAGGCAGCAGUGGGGAAUAUUGGACAAUGGGCGCAAGCCUGAUCCAGCCAUGCCGCGUGAGUGAUGAAGGCCUUAGGGUUGUAAAGCUCUUUUGUCCGGGACGAUAAUGACGGUACCGGAAGAAUAAGCCCCGGCUAACUUCGUG